GUUUCUGUAGUGUAGUGGUUAUCACAUUCGCUUUACACGCGAAAGGUCCCUGGUUCGAAACCGGGCAGAAACA
rnacentral:tRNA from 1 species